GUUGACAGGAUUGUUCUCAGUUAGAGGAGGGUCUCAUCAUUUCUUCCUCCUCUUCAAGGAAGGAGAGGGCUCUCACUCACCUGGCGGGAAGUCCCUUCUGUUGUCUGUCAGGCAUUCUACUUCAGAGAUGGUGACAGAUAUUGAAAACCAAAUCGAUAGGCAGCUGCAAGAGAGGCUGAACCAGGACGAGGUGGCUACUGCUCCUCAGGCCAAGGAGCUGGAAUCAGGUGCUGGGGAUACAGAAGUGAACGAAGUCCCUGCACCUGCGGACAUGCUGGGCAUGAACAGGGGAACGACUGAAAUUACAGCUGGAUGAGUCUUAAAUGCCAAGCUUCCUUUACCUUCAAAGUUGCUCUGCUCUUCUGGCUCCUGGGUUUCUCUCCCAAGCGCAAAUACCCAAACUUCUGGGGAAUAUAAAGGAAAGGCCUGGCUCAGAAUAUA